GCCUGCGUAGCUCAGUGGCAGAGCAACGGUAUCGUAAACCGUGGGUCGUCGGUUCAAUCCCGACCGCAGGCU
rnacentral:tRNA from 1 species